CCCUCCCACCCCUCCCAGAGCUACUUUUCUCUCCGCUCUUUUCUUUCUCUCUCCUCUUUAAGCUGCUUUUCCAACUCUACUUCUCUUCCUCUUCGAUUUGCAGAUUUGGGUCCGUAAAGUCAGCACAGGCUUCUGAGCAGAGAAGAAAAGGAGGAAGGAGGAAUAAAGGCCCCUUUAUUCAAAAAAGAAAAAAAGAUAAAACCAAAGCGGCGAUAAAUUUGAGCACGUCGUUUUGCCCCCUACCGGCCGCACGCGUCACAACACCUUAGGCUCGAAAAAGCAUCCCCCCCCCACAGCCUUGUGCCAGAGCAUCUUGCCUUAGGCACUACAUCGUCUGGGCUGCAGAGAUGUGAUUAAUCUUGUUUGCUGCUAACCAGGUGAAUGCAGUCAGGAGUACAACAGUGAGCAAUCUGAAGACUGGGGAGGAAUAUGAAGAAUUCAGAAAGUUUGGGGUUUUGAAAACAAGUAUUUCGUCUGGACUAGAGAGAGCACAAGUGAAAGCCAGAAGGAAGGAUUCCUGCACAGUGUAAGUGGUGCCACAUUCAUCCAGUGGCAUCCUGACCUGUUCCCAUAGAGAAAGCAGUGAGAGUAAUCAGUGCAAGAUAUACAGAGUGAUAUUUGCCAGCUUCUAGCAACCCUCCUGGCUGGUUCAGGAGCACAGCGAAGAGGUGAGGCUGUGGUUGGGGAUGCACAGGGAGUGCAGAGUGCCUCAGCCUGGGAAAGAGCCACAGUUAUUUGUUCAGCACUCAGACAAGUCUUCAGAAGAAAGCAGCUCGGAGUUGAUUCCAGCUCUCCAACCCAAACUGUUAUUUGAAGAUUGAGACAACAUUCCUGGCAAGACUGGGACCUUAGAAAGAAGCAAGGGGACGAGAUGGCGCAACUCUUUGGGAUAUAUUCAAACACAUCAGGUGAAUUACAAGAAGAAAUUAAAAGAACAAAAAAUUACACUGAGGAAAUGACUCUCUUCCAUGUUAUACACCUACAUCCACAGUAUGACUUACACCAACUGUAUUGACUGUCAUCUGUUUCCUUUGGGUACAGAAUAGAUAAGGACAAUGUCCUCCAUUUAUUAUGGAUUACUCCUCUCUUGCAUGCUGUGCAAACCAUACAGCUUGUUUACUGCAGACUAAUAGAGAUGCUGUAAUCUGCGUACAGUAAGCAGCUAUGAGAGAUUAAUUUCACAUCUGUGGACAAGUCUCUGAGGAGUCUUGUGCACUCACUGCAGGGAUAAAAGGAGCUGUUAGUUCUAACAAGGGAUUCAAUUUAAAAAGCCACUCAUGUCUAGAAGCCAAAUAAGGAGAGCAAUUGUGCAGAUUACUUACUAAUUACUUACUAAUGUGCAAGCACUUAAAGUUAUGAAAGAAAGAGUAGCCACUGGAAGCUGCCAGGACUUUCAACAUCUAGAUUAGGCUCAAGUCUGUGUUCAGCAUCAUUCAUUUAAUGGCCCAUUCUGACAUACCCAGCUCAAACAACUGCUGUUUUUCUCAUUCUUUCCAUCACUCACUCAAAAGCAGCUCUGUGUUUAUACAAGGCACUGUGUUUACUGCCAUGGGGAAGAAGGUCAGGCAACAAAACACCACAAAAGAUGCUUGAGUUUGAAACCUCAUAUUUCUGCAACUACUCCAAAGCUGGAGCAACGCUGGGGCUCAGCGGAGAGGACCCUUGGCAUCACUGCUGGCUGCUCACUGCCUGGCUGAUGUCCAUCUUUGCUGGACUGAUGGGGUCAGUGCUUCGUGGAAUUAUGUCCCUUAUGAUUAACUUCAGCUGCAUGGGCCGUGUAAGCAGUGUAAAUGAGAGUGUAAACUCCAUGUAUGCACAAGGAAUGACAUAUUUAUAUUUACUCUUGGAGCUGAAAGAGAAAGUCAGUUUGUGUGUGUGUGAGGGGAGUAACAAAUGGGACUAGAAUGAAUGCAGUCUCCUUGGUUCUUAAUGUGAUGCAUGUCUGGAGAAAACAGUGAGGGAGAUUUGCAAUGCACUUUCCUGAGCAGGGAAAGGAGAGGUGCUUUUGCCUGCUGCCUUAGCUGUGUGCUCUUUUUAUAUAUACUAAGAAUGCAUCUGAAUUGUAUCCUCUGUAUUUCAGAGAGCAGACAGAGGUGGAGAAUGAAUGUAUGUUGGUAGCCUGUUUCUUCUGAGCUGUAGAUGCUGCACUUCUGGGAGUACUGCACAACUGCCCUGUACCCAUUUUACAGUCUUACUGCUUUGAAUAUGUUCCUACUGAGUCUCCUGUCUGCCUCUUAUCAUUUUAUUUGCAUUUAUUAAAACUAGGAAAUGUGGAACUGAAAUGAAAAAGGUUUUUUUGUUAGAGCCUGUAACAACUAAGCUACCUUUGUUUUCUCUGGCUGUGUGUAUUUGAAUUUAUAAAGGCAUUGCUAGCCCCAGCUCUGUCUUCUGAUAGGCAAAUCACCAGCUUGAUAUUUUACUAAAUCCCCAUUUAUUUAUUUUCUUUCUUGUGGACACAGCACUAUUUUGGAAAAUGGAAUGAGAGGGGGAAAAAAAAGAGAACAUGGAGAUCUAAAACCAGGCCUGUAUUCCCCUGUGCAUCCACAAUAUCCUGCUGUACCUUGUAGAAUUUGAUGAUGGACUCGCAUAGCCAGUGAUCAGAUCUUGUCUGCUCAAGCCCUUGGUCACAAUUUAUGGCCCAGCAGCAGAAAAAUAGACUGUGCUUUGCUCAAGUUCUACUAUUGCUUCUGGUUUUAACACUUCUCUCUUUGUAUUUUCGAACGUAUUGGCCUACCCAGGCGUCAAUCAUUAGUUCUCCCAUUUUGUGGACUGUAUCACUUCUGUUUGUGUUUCAAUAUCGUUUCUUUGUAGAAGGAUGCCAUAUUACAUUGAAGUGGCAGAACUGUAAGAAUUGGAUCUAUUAAACAUCAUUAAUGGGUUGC